rnacentral:rRNA from 1 species
AUUGAACGCUGGCGGCAUGCCUUACACAUGCAAGUCGAACGGUAACAGGUCUUCGGAUGCUGACGAGUGGCGAACGGGUGAGUAAUACAUCGGAACGUGCCCGAUCGUGGGGGAUAACGGAGCGAAAGCUUUGCCAAUACCGCAUACGAUCUACGGAUGAAAGCAGGGGACCGCAAGGCCUUGCGCGGACGGAGCGGCCGAUGGCAGAUUAGGUAGUUGGUGGGAUAAAAGCUUACCAAGCCGACGAUCUGUAGCUGGUCUGAGAGGACGACCAGCCACACCGGGACUGAGACACGGCCCAGACUCCUACGGGAGGCAGCAGUGGGGAAUUUUGGACAAUGGGCGAAAGCCUGAUCCAGCCAUGCCGCGUGCAGGAUGAAGGCCUUCGGGUUGUAAACUGCUUUUGUACGGGACGAAAAGCCUCUUUCUAAUAAAGAGAGGUCAUGACGGUACCGUAAGAAUAAGCACCGGCUAACUACGUGCCAGCCGCCGCGGUAAGAC